GAACGCUGGCGGUAGGCCUAACACAUUCAAGUCGAACGGCAGCACAGUAAGAGCUUGCUCUUACGGGUGGCGAGUGGCGGACGGGUGAGGAAUACAUCGGAAUCUACUUUUUCGUGGGGGAUAACGUAGGGAAACUUACGCUAAUACCGCAUACGACCUACGGGUGAAAGCAGGGGAUCUUCGGACCUUGCGCGAUUGAAUGAGCCGAUGUCGGAUUAGCUAGUUGGCGGGGUAAAGGCCCACCAAGGCGACGAUCCGUAGCUGGUCUGAGAGGAUGAUCAGCCACACUGGAACUGAGACACGGUCCAGACUCCUACGGGAGGCAGCAGUGGGGAAUAUUGGACAAUGGGCGCAAGCCUGAUCCAGCCAUACCGCGUGGGUGAAGAAGGCCUUCGGGUUGUAAAGCCCUUUUGUUGGGAAAGAAAAGCGGCAGGUUAAUACCCCGCUGUUCUGACGGUACCCAAAGAAUAAGCACCGGCUAACUUCGUG
rnacentral:rRNA from 1 species